GGAGAAGUGUCCGAGUGGCCGAAGGAGCACGCCUGGAAAGUGUGUAUACGUCACAAGCGUAUCGGGGGUUCGAAUCCCCCUCUUCUCCU
rnacentral:tRNA from 1 species